GUUUGAUGUUUUAUUAUAGCAAACAACAAACUCGAUAUAUAAACAAGAUAAAUCCUGUUCAUCAGUGAAUCCUGCACCUCUCAGAACGCAGGUGUUUCACUGUCAGAAAAAUAAAAGAGAUUGUCCUUUGUGUUUUCCAGCAGACAGGCUGAGUUUCGUGUGGCUGCAUGUGUGUUGAUCUGAUCUGAUGUCUGCGGGGAAACAAGAGCACGGCCGUGUCGUGAUAACCUAGAGCCACGUCCAGUGCUGAUGAAGACUGUGCUAAAUUUCAGAGGGAGAGCAGAGGCGGGUGACGUCACGUGACCUGUGUCAAACUCACAACACGAGUUCAGAAGACGUUCUGUGUGAUGUGCAGAGCUGCUGAGGAAUUCAUGUGAAGCUGUUUGGACUCUCAUUCUGACGGCACCCAUUCACUCCAGAGGAUUCAUUAGUGAGCAAGUGAAGGAAUACUACAUUUCUCCAGAUAUGAUGAAGAAACAAACUCAUCUACAUUUUUGGAUGGCCUGAAUGGACAUUUUUAAUGUGGAUCUUGAUAAUGGAGAUGAGUGAGUGCUGUGGAGCUGUCAGGGGAAUGAGAUCAGACACACCUGCUGUGAAUUGUCAAGCGAUGCCCUUGAGCCUCACUAUUCGUAUUUUUCUUUAUUCCAAGGCUGCUUCUUCAUGCUGUGAAG
ensembl:lncRNA